AGAGACUGUAUGGAACCCUACCUUCCUUCAGAUGAUGGCAAAUCCUCCCGGGUCCUAUAGAACGGUUCUCUCUCUUGCCUUUAGGUUCUUCUCCCCAGCUAGGGUUCACAGGGUUACUUUCCUGACAAUCAGGUGAAGCUGACUAUGUGACCUCAGGCCAUCAAGCUCCAGAUGAUCCUCAGUGAGGGAUACCGCUCUCUCAGUAUUCAAGAGUCACCCUUCCACAGAGAAGCCCUAGACUGCCCAUCAGUGGAAUAUGAGAGAGAGCCAGAGCCUUCAGACCAAGACAAUCGAACAUCCCUGGAUAUCUGAGAUAGCCAGCCUUUCUUCUGGAGAGCUUCCCAGUUGGCAUGAUGACAACGUAUUUGGCCCUGGCAAUAGAUUAUGGCUGGUACAAACCAGUUCUCAGGAUAUCUUACAACUAGAGGCAGCCUUAAGACCCUGUUUUGUCGAGAAUACCUACUUGGAAGUCUAGUCAAAAGUGGCAGCUCACCCUCCUGUUUCAACUCAGAAGUCCUUCUCCAUUACCACCCCUGUCAAGUGAGGAGCUGCUGUUUCUCCUACUAAUGAGCAGAGCAGAUCAAACAUCAAACUGCCAAAGACAGAAAAUUAUUUACUGAUGUACAUUAUUUGACAAACUAUUCAAAGGAAUGACCCCACUAUUUAUGCAGUUUUAAGCAGAGAAGGAGAGUCUCCAGGAACUAUACGAAUUAAUCAACUUGAGCAAUCAGCCUGUUUUACAGCCUCCUGCCUUGGAGACUACUUUUUCCAAAACUCUAUGUGGGAUGUGGUCACCUAGUUGGUUGGAACCAGCUCCUGACAGACCCCAGCAACUGACAGAUGAACCUGAGUGAACUUUCCUCAUUAUCAUGCUAAAGUCUCCAUCCCGAAAGGAACUAUAGCUUCAUUACCAGAACAUGCAACCUUUGUGCUGGCAUAAAGGCUCACUGCGUCUAAAGCAACUGGGACCCGUCCCGUACAUGUGAUGAUGCACACUCUCCUCUCUCCAUAGCGCCAUAAACUCUCUCAGGGAGACACUGCUUUGAGGAAUGCUUCCUUACUUGUGCUAAGUAAUAAAACUCCUAUUGAUUAAAAUUUACAUUCUUGUGGAUUCGUUUGUUACUGGACAAGUGAGUGAAUUCAUUUUUUUUCAGGUUAGUCAUCAAAAUAAACUUUGUGGAUAUGAUUGUACAUUACUUAUUCUUUUAUUCUCAUACCUCCAUUUAUAUUCAUGUUCUGUUAAUUCUACAUUCCUAAAGAAUUAAACUUUCUCUUCCAAAAGAUCUAUUAUGGCCUUUAUACAAUGUCUUUAUAAUUUUCUAUGAGAACUAUUGAAGUAGCUGCCUAAUUAAUAUCUCCGUCUUAGGUUUGUAACCUUUUUGUUCAUUUUCUAGUCUUCUAUCAAAGUAAUCUUUCUCAAAUAUAAAUCUGGUCAUAUUUGUUCCAUGCUUACAUCUCUUUGAUUACUUCCCAUUAUCUACUAAAAAAUGUUCAAAUGUCUGGCUCGAGAAACAUGAUCUUCUUGAUGAUUUUGCUGGCUUUUUCAUCUUCAUUUUCUACUUGUGACCCCUUGAAUCCAACAAACCAGUUAUAAUAAAGCAU
ensembl:lncRNA novel transcript